GCCAGUGGUGAACUCCACAUCCGCAUCCUUUGCUGAGGAUACGGUUAACGGAGCGAAAGCGACGUUCAACCGCAAAACAAGCAGAGGGGGCUUAGUGGUGGGGUGACUGCGUACCUUUUGUAUAAUGGGUCAGCGACUUAUAUUCUGUAGCAAGGUUAACCGUAUAGGGGAGCCGGAGGGAAACCGAGUCUUAAUUGGGCGUUAAGUUGCAGGGUAUAGACCCGAAACCCGGUGAUCUAGCCAUGGGCAGGUUGAAGGUUGGGUAACACUAACUGGAGGACCGAACCGACUAAUGUUGAAAAAUUAGCGGAUGACCUGUGGCUGGGGGUGAAAGGCCAAUCAAACCGGGAGAUAGCUGGUUCUCCCCGAAAGCUAUUUAGGUAGCGCCUCGUGAAUUCAUCUCCGGGGGUAGAGCACUGUUUCGGCUAGGGGGCCAUCCCGGCUUACCAACCCGAUGCAAACUGCGAAUACCGGAGAAUGUUAUCACGGGAGACACACGGCGGGUGCUAACGUCCGUCGUGAAGAGGGAAACAACCCAGACCGCCAGCUAAGGUCCCAAAGUCAUGGUUAAGUGGGAAACGAUGUGGGAAGGCCCAGACAGCCAGGAUGUUGGCUUAGAAGCAGCCAUCAUUUAAAGAAAGCGUAAUAGCUCACUGGUCGAGUCGGCCUGCGCGGAAGAUGUAACGGGGCUAAACCAUGCACCGAAGCUGCGGCAGCGAACGUAUCACCCAAGACAACUUUACGGAGUUGACGAUUGACGGAGCGAAGCGACGUCAAAGCGUUCAUUAAAGUCGAGUUGGCUUAGGGAUACGUUCGUUGGGUAGGGGAGCGUUCUGUAAGCCUGUGAAGGUGUGUCGUGAGGCAUGCUGGAGGUAUCAGAAGUGCGAAUGCUGACAUAAGUAACGAUAAAGCGGGUGAAAAGCCCGCUCGCCGGAAGACCAAGGGUUCCUGUCCAACGUUAAUCGGGGCAGGGUGAGUCGACCCCUAAGGCGAGGCCGAAAGGCGUAGUCGAUGGGAAACGGGUUAAUAUUCCCGUACUUGGUGUUACUGCGAAGGGGGGACGGAGAAGGCUAUGUUGGCCGGGCGACGGUUGUCCCGGUUUAAGCGUGUAGGUGUGUGUUCCAGGUAAAUCCGGUUCACUUUAACACUGAGGCGUGACGACGAGGCACUACGGUGCUGAAGCAACAAAUGCCCUGCUUCCAGGAAAAGCCUCUAAGCAUCAGGUAACACGAAAUCGUACCCCAAACCGACACAGGUGGUCAGGUAGAGAAUACCAAGGCGCUUGAGAGAACUCGGGUGAAGGAACUAGGCAAAAUGGUGCCGUAACUUCGGGAGAAGGCACGCUGACACGUAGGUGAAGUGAUUUACUCAUGGAGCUGAAGUCAGUCGAAGAUACCAGCUGGCUGCAACUGUUUAUUAAAAACACAGCACUGUGCAAACACGAAAGUGGACGUAUACGGUGUGACGCCUGCCCGGUGCCGGAAGGUUAAUUGAUGGGGUCAGCGUAAGCGAAGCUCCUGAUCGAAGCCCCGGUAAACGGCGGCCGUAACUAUAACGGUCCUAAGGUAGCGAAAUUCCUUGUCGGGUAAGUUCCGACCUGCACGAAUGGCGUAAUGAUGGCCAGGCUGUCUCCACCCGAGACUCAGUGAAAUUGAACUCGCUGUGAAGAUGCAGUGUACCCGCGGCAAGACGGAAAGACCCCGUGAACCUUUACUAUAGCUUGACACUGAACAUUGAGCCUUGAUGUGUAGGAUAGGUGGGAGGCUUUGAAGUGUGGACGCCAGUCUGCAUGGAGCCGACCUUGAAAUACCACCCUUUAAUGUUUGAUGUUCUAACGUGGACCCGUAAUCCGGGUUGCGGACAGUGUCUGGUGGGUAGUUUGACUGGGGCGGUCUCCUCCUAAAGAGUAACGGAGGAGCACGAAGGUUGGCUAAUCCUGGUCGGACAUCAGGAGGUUAGUGCAAUGGCAUAAGCCAGCUUGACUGCGAGCGUGACGGCGCGAGCAGGUGCGAAAGCAGGUCAUAGUGAUCCGGUGGUUCUGAAUGGAAGGGCCAUCGCUCAACGGAUAAAAGGUACUCCGGGGAUAACAGGCUGAUACCGCCCAAGAGUUCAUAUCGACGGCGGUGUUUGGCACCUCGAUGUCGGCUCAUCACAUCCUGGGGCUGAAGUAGGUCCCAAGGGUAUGGCUGUUCGCCAUUUAAAGUGGUACGCGAGCUGGGUUUAGAACGUCGUGAGACAGUUCGGUCCCUAUCUGCCGUGGGCGCUGGAGAACUGAGGGGGGCUGCUCCUAGUACGAGAGGACCGGAGUGGACGCAUCACUGGUGUUCGGGUUGUCAUGCCAAUGGCACUGCCCGGUAGCUAAAUGCGGAAGAGAUAAGUGCUGAAAGCAUCUAAGCACGAAACUUGCCCCGAGAUGAGUUCUCCCUGAGACUUAGAGUCUCCUGAAGGAACGUUGAAGACGACGACGUUGAUAGGCCGGGUGUGUAAGCGCAGCGAUGCGUUGAGCUAACCGGUACUAAUGAACCGUGAGGCUUAACCUUACA
rnacentral:rRNA from 1 species